AUGCUUAUCAAUGCAAUAUAACAAAACUAACCGCUGUUUUCCAUAAACAGAUAGAAUUGCAAGCUAGAUUCUGUAACUGUAAUACUACAUAGCUUAUUCGUCGAAGUGUAUUAGCAAUACCGGAAACAUGAAGCGGUCUUCGGUUGAACAGACAGCCUCGCACGGAGACGUGAUUAUACCGGAAAAGAAGAAACCGUUACACGUUUCGGAGAGAGACCCACCAUUCAGCGGUUUGUACAAAGGCGAGUACUCGGCUGGCCGCGAUGCAAAGGCAGAGCUUGAACUUAAAAUCGACUUGGAUGAACUGAGAAAGUAUUCAGAGGUUCUUAAUAUGAUCAGCGGUUCGAUCACGAAAACAAGCGAUCGGAGAUUGAACUGGUUUAAGUCAAACAAAGCCAUGUAUUUUUGUUCCAUUCCCGGCGAAGCAAGACUUGAAAUCCCACCCAACUCGAUGAACUACGAGCGAAAUAUUACAACUAAAGUUUUAGCACGUCGGAGCGAUGGUGCUAAGUUCUAUGGCAAGGUAUUCAUCAAGCUGAUGUUGCCACAAGACGACGGUGUCUGGAAUGGAAGUUUUGAACUGCAAGUGGACGACGAAUCCAUUAAGUUUAACGAAGUCGAACGAACGAGCUUGUUUUUCCGCGAUCUUCAAAUUGACAUCGAUUAUGUGGAUCGCGUUGUUUGGCCAACGAUUAAACUCUCGGACUUCCAUGAUGCUCCUGAAGACAUGAAAGAUCGAAAACUUGAUCCCUUUGCUGUCUUUGAAGAUGCGGGGAUCAAACUCCAUUAUGAGUCCUCUGAUAGUGAUGAGAUCAGCGAUCCAACUCCAGACAACCCAUGGACCAAAGAUGAUAUGUAUGAGGUGAUGAUGGAACAUUUUGACUCUUCGUCCAACGAAGAUGCCACCAGUGUGUGGUGCAUGAUGGCCAACGUACCACCGGAUCCAAGAUACAUGGGUUUCUCAUUCAACAAAGAUAACAAAAAAGGAUUUGGGAUGUUUAAAGGACACAAAUCCUUUGAGGGCUUGAUGGAUCCUUCAUCUGAAGACCAUCCUUAUGCAACACGAAGAUUCCUGCAUUACUUCAUUCAUGAGUGUGGUCAUACUAUGGGACUCAUGCACCCAUUUGAAUUGAACAACCCAUCUUCGUUGACUUGGAUGAACUAUUCAUGGAAAUAUAACGCCAAAUAUGGCCCUGGGGAGUUCUACGAUAAUUUCAACUACUCAUUCUCGAAUAUUGAGCUCCAAGUUUUGAGGCACAUCCCCAGCAAGGGUUUCAAAGCUGUUGCACCCAAUGUGAGAGUGACAAACUAUGGAAAAGUUUCAGCUGCCCCAGCGGAACAAAAAUUGGGGGAGCAAGAUGAAUAUGAAGAAGAAAAUAAAGUAAAAUACAAGCUCUCGCUUCGAGCUGUUGUUGAAGAUCAGGAGUACGCAGUGGAUGAUUCUAUUAGUUUGGAACUGCGAUUGAAAAACACAGGGGAAUUCCCUGUUCUGAUAGAGUCAGACUUUGACCCAAUGAGUGGAAACAUGAAGGUUUUUAUCAUUAAACCAAAUGGAGAGAUUGAGUUAUAUUGGUCCUUCGUUACGCACCUUCAAUCUUCUACUUACCAAGACCCCAUCAUUCUGCAACCCAGUGGAACAGAUGGGUCAGAUAGGUACAGUGAUGUUGUUCAGAUUGGGGAGGGAACUAAUGGCCCUGUGUUUUCUGAAGAAGGCACCUAUAAGCUCUAUGCUGUGUAUAUUGGAUUAGAGCACAAUAUUGUAUCAGAAAAAGUGGAUGUGGUUAUUCGUAAAGCAGAUGUUCAAGACAAACUUGCUAAAGCGCUGAAUGUUGGUUCUUUCCUUGGGGGAGCAAAACAAAUUGGAAAUUUCUGGGGUGACUUUGUCUCCAAGGCAGCUGCAUUCAAGAAAAAUCAUAUCAACAAAGUGACAGCUUUCCUUGGAGAUUUGGUCAGUGGUGAAGGCAGAUCCGUGGUUAAGACACGCAAACGAGGGCGAAAAGGAAAAGCAAAGAAGGAAAUUUCGAGGCGCGAUGCUCUAAAGACUACAAAAGAUGUGUUUGCCGAUACCGCAGACAUGGUGCAGUAUUACCAUGGCAAUGGUGCAAAAGGAGACAACAUAAAAUACAAAAAGUUGGUCUUGACACGGGCGAAAAUUGCCGCAAAGGUUGGAUUUUCCAUGGACAAAAUGGAAGUGGAAUUUAACCAGAUGUUGGCUGACUUGGUGAAACGUGGGGUGAAGUAUGCUGCAAUACAAGAUGCUUCAAAACAGUGGGAACAGAUUAAGAAUCCAACACCUCCAGUGGACCAAAAUUCCAAGGAAAAUCUCCAGAACAAGUUUGAACAAAUAUUAGAUUGGUAUCCUGACAAUGAGCCUGAGGGAGAGGACAUGAGCGGAAUUGGACUCGGAAAGCCUUUUAGUAACUUCAGUAUUGAUCAUCUGACCGCUGGUGCUUCCAUCGCUCGUUUGCUCUUUGAUAAACUGGACGAGACACACGAUGUCGCUGCCGUGCUAGAGUAUGCCGAUAUAUUACAGAAGUCUUAUAAAGUUAACCAUCAUGUAUUGCACUGGGCAGUUGAGGUGUUUGUGGUGCAUUCAAAAAGAGCAAAAAGCAAAGGCCUUCAGUACCCAGUUCCCAAACCAAUGGAUAAAUCUCUGAUAAGCAAUGCUGCAAUGACUGUAACACAAAGAACUGGACAACCAGCAGAGACCUGGAUGAAUUACUGGAGAAAUGAUGCUGAUUUGAACUACCAUCACAGGCACUGGCAUGUAGUGUAUGUGGUAGGUCAGCUAAUUGGCCAGAACUUGAACUGGUUUGGCCGCUGGAGAACAGAACGCCCAGAGUUGUUUAGACAAGGCGAAUUGUUUGGAUACAUGCACGCUCAAAUGCUUGCGCGCUACAAUGCAGAACGACAAUCUUGGAGACUUCCAGUAGUGCAGGCAUGGCAGUAUAAUGAGCGUGAUCCAGUUGGUUACAACACAGGCUUUGAGUUUCAUAAUGAUAGACGGAACCGUGGUUUCUCUCCAAGACUACCUGGCAGUUUUCCUGAUAGAGAACAAACACGUUUCCAAAGAUUUGAGCGUGCGAUCAUGAGAGCAAUCAAUGCAGAUGUUCUACCACCAGUGGUAAUAGGAGAAACAACUCGGAAUGUUGCCAUGGAUGCAAACUGGGCAGGUCAUGUUAUUGAAGCUUCCUCCAGCACUUGGCAAGCACAACUUGGUUCAAUACAUAACAAUGGGCAUGGAGUUAUUGGUUCAAUGUCUCGCUCUGGUUCAAGUUACAUGAGCGCCACCGUAACAGCUAUGAGAGAUCCAAUAUUUUAUCGCUGGCACAAAAGGAUUGACAAUUUGUGGCAAGAAUGGAGCAGUAGAAGAGUAACAGAUCUUCAGACAGAUGCACCAGCUGUCAUAAUACGGCCCAGUGACAUCAUAAUUAGCAACAAUGCAAACCCACCAAGAGGUUUUAACUCAUUUUCCAACACCAACUUUCAGUCGGAUGAUUUACAAACAUACCUUGGUCCACCACAGAAGAGAUACGAGUGGGACAAUAAGAUAUCUCACCAACCAUUUACAUACCAUAUAAGGUUCCAGAGAGCAUCUCAAGCCCAAGGUGAAUUGAACUUAACUGUUCGAAUAUUUAUUUGUCCCGCAUCUGAAUCUAACAACAGAUUGAGCUGGAUUGAAAUGGACAAGUUUGUUUACAGACUUGGCGCAGAUGCAACAUCAGCUGUGAUAUCUCGUCCUGAUCGUCAUUCCUCGGUCAUUAAGCGUGAAAGAAGUUACAUGGAGGGAGAUGUGGAAGAAAACUUCACAACAACUGCCACAGGAUUUUGUGAAUGUGGUUGGCCAUACAGCAUGCUGCUACCACGUGGUACAGAGCAAGGCGAGCAAUGGCGACUGUGUGUCUUCCUGAGCGACAAUAAUGUGGAUAGUAUUAGUGUCCGCAGCUCUUGUGGAAGUAUGAGCUUCUGUGGGUCCUCCGGACAAGCUUAUCCAGAUCGAAGAAUGAUGGGGUAUCCGUUUGCGACUCGUGUGUCACUUGGGAAUAAUGAGAUGGCAAUAGAAAAUGCGAUGUCUGCACUUCAAAAUGCUUCCAUUUCAUCUUUUAUCAUCAAAAACAACGUCACCAUUUCCCCUCCUGUUCCAGCAGUUGACGCAUGGUCACCAUGGGUGCAGAUGGCUGUAGAUGACGGAAUGAAUGAAACUAGCACCACUGUUGCUUCUUUCAGUCCAAGCGGAGCAGGCGGUGUCUUUAGAAUCCUAAUCGAUGACGCAGCGAUGACACUCACCAACUUUAACACUAUCCGAGUUCGAUUCCAGGGCAGGGGUGAAGGUUUUGGGGCUUACGGCAUCUUAUCUGCAUAUGUUGGGGUCCAGCGGGGGAAUUCCCUCAAUUUGAGACAGGGUUCUAAUCGCCCCCCUAUUACAGUAAAUGGCCAGAGUAGCUUCACUGUACCAGAAACUGGAAUAAUAUCGGAUGAAAUGAAUUUGGGUGAAUCUGCACCAGUGGAUCUCUUUGUUACUUUCACACUCCAGAGCCCUGGUUGUUUCUUGCGACCUGCUGAUGACAUUACAAGUACCAGCACAUACGCCAUUCUUCAGCCAACAGGAGAUGUACCGGAGAAUUGGCAAAAUCUUGAAGAUGUGCGAACUUCAACUGCACUGUACUGUAUUGGAGGAAUAAUGACACCAUUGUCCAGCACAUAAGUUAACAGAAAACCAGAUUAAAGAAGUUAAAGUAAAACUAUUUCCUUAAAAAGUUCUUAAGUGUAUUUAGCCAUGAAACACAUUUAACCAGAUCAUGUAACAAAGUAUCUAUGAUUAAUAUAUGCUAUUUCUUUCAAAUUGACAUCUUUAGUUGACAAACAUUUUGUGGCUAUUAACUACAUUAGGGUUUACUUUUAAACUUGUAUAGAUAAUGGUCUUUCACAAGCGGCACAUGUAUAACACAAACACAAAAAAGUUGUAUACAGUGUAACUCGUAAUCUGGCAUGAGGUCUAUGAAACAAAACACCUGUGUUAUAAGAUAUACCAUGUACUCUGGCAAAAAUGUUAGUAACCUAGUUAACCUAUUAUGUUACCUGCAGUAGGCUAUUUCACUGUAGAUCGGUUUGCAUUCUUUAGGUUUAUAUAUAUGUGGUAUGUAGAAAAAAUGUAUGCUAAGCACCUGUAGUACUUAUUAUUCAAAUACAUUGCACAUUAAUAUCAUUGUAAACAGAUUAAAAAAAUAAAUUGAAAUGUUUAUUGCUCUAAGCACACAUGUGUAACUGGAUUCGCGUUUUGAGGCAGUUUGUCGGUGCCUUAGGGUAAUUUAAGACAGUUCGUAUUAAGGUUGUUAAAAAAAUUAUCAGCUCUACAUGAAAAAAAA